rnacentral:rRNA from 1 species
ACCUCGGAUCAGGUAGGGAUACCCGCUGAACUUAAGCAUAUCAAUAAGCGGAGGAAAAGAAACCAACAGGGAUUACCUCAGUAACGGCGAGUGAAGCGGUAACAGCUCAAAUUUGAAAUCUGGGUCUUUCAGGCUCCGAGUUGUAAUUUGUAGAAGAUGCUUUGGGUGCGGCCCCGGUCUAAGUUCCUUGGAACAGGACGUCAUAGAGGGUGAGAAUCCCGUAUGUGAUCGGUGGCUUGCGCCCGUGUAAAGCUCUUUCGACGAGUCGGGUUGUUUGGGAAUGCAGCUCUAAAUGGGUGGUAAAUUUCAUCUAAAGCUAAAUAUUGGCCAGAGACCGAUAGCGCACAAGUAGAGUGAUCGAAAGAUGAAAAGCACUUUGGAAAGAGAGUUAAACAGUACGUGAAAUUGUUGAAAGGGAAGCGCUUGCAACCAGACUUGCGCGGGGUUGAUCAUCCGGGGUUCUCCCCGGUGCACUCGGCCUCGCUCAGGCCAGCAUCGGUUUCGGUGGUUGGAUAAAGGCCUUGGGAAUGUGGCUCCUCUCGGGGAGUGUUAUAGCCCUCGGUGCAAUGCAGCCUACCGGGACC